rnacentral:rRNA from 1 species
AAGCUCGUAGUUGAAUUUCGAAAGUUUUUUGUAUCAAAGCUCGCCCUUGUGGUGUGGCUCGAUAUAGGCUUUCUAUUAUUGGAUAGUGGGCAACCGCUUCCAAUCAUUUACUUUGAAAAAACUAGAGUGUUUAAAGCAGGCUUACGCUUGAAUACAUUAGCAUGGAAUAAUGAAAUAGGACGUUUGAUUCUAUUUUGUUGGUUUCUAGGAUCGACGUAAUGAUUAAUAGGGAUAGUUGGG